GAGUUCUCAACUCAUUCUCAGUGUUCAUAGUACUUUUUCGUGGUACUUUUCACUAAAGUACAACAAUCUAAAUACUAGGGCUGCAACAACGAAUUGAUAAAAUCGCUAAAAGUCGAGUAAAGGAAGCGUGUUGUGCUCUGGCGCCCCCUGUGGACUGAAGCGGUGUUGCCUCUGAGCACCAGGGUCCCUUCAGAACGUCUCAUUUAACAGGAAAACAGAAACACUUUGUUGCUCCUCAUUUGUAGCCGAUUCUGAUUGGUUGAAAAGAGGCGUGUUGUUAAAAUGUUGAAGUGGUUUUAUAUUAGAGUGACAUUAAUGAACGUGCACUAACCCACUAAUCGCUGCACGACGCUGGCAGGUGACUCGUCUCCAGUACCUGAACGCUCUCAUGGCGUCGCGGGUCGGUCACAGUCCAGAUCCUCCAGAGAUUAAGAUCCUGCCCAACAGUCAGACCAAGCUGCUCAACGACAGAAACUCACAGCCAGAGUUCCCCGUCAACUUUUCCUUCUUUGAUACCAUUGAGAAUUACUGUGGCAGCAGCGCCCAGGUGAGCUCCACAGAAGAGGAGGCUCAUGGGUAAUGCGGCGCUCACCUGCUGCAGGAGAUUCUUUAACCAAUGAAUCAUUGUGGCUGAAACGUCGUUAUUGGACCAAACUGGAGCCAGAGAUUUUAUUUCUUCUUUAAAUUCCUUUUAUUUGAUUUUAAUCACAAUUAUUUUAUGCUGUUUUAUACACUUUAUGUGUAGAUGAAUAAAUAUAAAUGUAUUUUGUUUUAAUUCAACAUGUUUCUCCAGGUUUUAUACUAAACUGUGUGUGUGUGUGUGUGUGUGUGUGUGUGUGUGUGUGUGUGUGUGUGUGUGUGUGUGUGUGUGUGUGUGUGUGAACACGCCUCUGAAUGAACCCUUUUGUUUGUACAUUUAUUAACAAUGUAUAAUUUAUUAUUUUACUGCAACAACACGGUAAAAUAAGAUCAACUCUAAAGUUUAAAGGAGGCUGAAAGAAGAAGCGACCAGUCGUUUUAAUUUGCCGAUAACCGUCAAAUCGUUUACUUCAGUAAAAGUCAAAUGACGGCUCACUAAACCGUACUGCUAGUAUUUAAAAGUAUUAAUACAUCAGUGACGUGUUUCAUUCAUAUUCAUCCUGCAUUCAUGUUGCACGUUAACUCCUUCAUGUCCUUUUAUUUAGCUUCAUCUUCAUCAUUCUAUUUGUGAUAAACUGAAGGAUGAAGUGAUGUUUUUUCUGGGCAGGAAGAUGAAAAACUAAUCUGAGAAGAAACUAAAGCGUCACACGAAUAUAAUAAAAGUCAAAUAUUUACCUCUGAGAGGUUCAUUUGUAAAUUAACGUCAAAUAUAAAGUGCUGCAGUGAAGUACCUUGACUUUCCACUGGAGUGCAGUACUUGUACUUGUACACCAGAUGUACUCUGUAUUCUGUUUCUUUCAGCGCAGCAGGACAAGUUUUAAAAUGAGCUUCAGCGCCGUCGUCAUGGUUACGCUCUUUGUCCCCCAGAGACUCGUCCUGGAGUAUAGAGUGGAUUUUAUUUUAUGACCCUUUUCCUUUCUUUGUUGCAAUGAGUUCAUUUGGUUUCAGGAGACUGAAUGUAUAUAAUAUAAUAAUAAAAAGAUAAUCCCGACUGCUGAUGGAGAGAAAUGUUUGUUAAUAUCUGACCGUUUACAGCAGAAUGAGGACGUACUUUAUUGGGAUCAUUUCUUUCAGGUACAAUAACGACGUUAUUAAGAGAUUUAAAGUUAAAAUCGUUCCUCUUUCUGUUUGAUCUGAUUUUUUGGGACCGUUGCUGCUGCCUGUGUUUUAUUUUGGCGGUGCGUUGAGAGACUCCAUCACAUUUAACACUUUCAAUACUCAAGUUUCUUAGUAAUAAACUCCAGCCUGUUAUAAAAUACGUGCUUGUUGUUUGUGUGUUGUUGUUGCCACGGUGACGCGGCCCAAAACACCACAAGGCGACUUCAGUAGGAUAUUUACUGCAGGAUGAAACCUUCAAGUUGCACCUGAAGCACCGAGCUCAGUAGUUUGUGUUGUUUGGAGACGACUCUGCGUUAACGUUCAUACGGUUAAUAAACCAAGUUAUUUAUUA